rnacentral:rRNA from 1 species
CCUACGGGUGGCUGCAGUGGGGAAUUUUGCGCAAUGCUCGUAAGAGUGACGCAGCGAUGCCGCGUGAAUGACGAAGGCCUUCGGGUCGUAAAGUUCUUUUGUAAGGGAAGAAAAUGCCUAUAAGUAACUGUGUAUGUAUUGACGGUACCUGUAUAAGCAGCCCCGGCUAACUCCGUGCCAGCAGCCGCGGUAAUACGGAGGGGGCGAGCGUUGUUCGGAGUGACUGGGCGUAAAGAGUACGUAGGCGGUGUUGUAAGUCAUUAGUCAAAGACUAGAGCUCAACUUUAGUAAGGCUAGUGAUACUGUAAUACUAGAGUAUCAGAGAGGAGUGCAGAAUUCCUGGUGUAGCGGUGAAAUGCGUAGAUAUCAGGAAGAAUACCGAUGGCGAAGGCAGCAAUCUGGCUGGAAACUGACGCUGAGGUACGAAAGCGUGGGGAGCAAACAGGAUUAGAUACCCUUGUAGUC